UACAGAGGGUGCAAGCGUUAAUCGGCAUUACUGGGCGUAAAGCGUGCGUAGGUGGUUUACUAAGUCAGGUGUGAAAUCCCCGGGCUCAACCUGGGAACUGCGCUUGAUACUGGUAAACUAGAGUUUAGUAGAGGGAAGUGGAAUUCCACGUGUAGCGGUGAAAUGCGUAGAUAUGUGGAGGAACACCGGUGGCGAAGGCGGUUCUCUGGGCAUUACCUGACGCUGAGGAGCGAAAGUGUGGGGAGCGAACAGG
rnacentral:rRNA from 1 species